rnacentral:rRNA from 1 species
UUUUAUGGAGAGUUUGAUCCUGGCUCAGAGUGAACGCUGGCGGCGUGCCUAAUACAUGCAAGUCGAACGAUGAAGCAACUAGCUUGCUAGUUGUGGAUUAGUGGCGCACGGGUGAGUAA